CCCCAGACUCCUACGGGAGGCAGCAGUGGGGAAUAUUGGGCAAUGGGCGCAAGCCUGACCCAGCAACGCCGCGUGAAGGAAGAAGGCUUUCGGGUUGUAAACUUCUUUUAAGAGGGAAGAGAAGAAGACGGUACCUCUUGAAUAAGCCACGGCUAACUACGUGCCAGCAGCCGCGGUAAUACGUAGGUGGCAAGCGUUGUCCGGAUUUACUGGGUGUAAAGGGCGUGCAGCCGGGCUGACAAGUCAGAUGUGAAAUCCCGCGGCUCAACCGCGGAACUGCAUUUGAAACUGUCAGUCUUGAGUACCGGAGAGGUCAUCGGAAUUCCUUGUGUAGCGGUGAAAUGCGUAGAUAUAAGGAAGAACACCAGUGGCGAAGGCGGCCAACUGGGCUUUAACUGACGCUGAGGCACGAAGGCCAGGGGAGCGAAAGGGAUUAGAUACCCCAGUA
rnacentral:rRNA from 1 species